GUUCAAAUGAGGAAGGGAUUACGGUGGAUACCAAGGCACCGAGAGACAAGGAAGGGUGUGGUAAGCGAGGAAAUUAUCCGGGGAGUUAAAAAUGAGCAUAGAUACAAAUAUUCCCGAAUAGGUUAACAUUUUUAACUGUUGUUGAAUCCAUGGGUAGGCAAGAGACAACCUGGUGAACUGAAAAAGCCAGAGGAAUAGAAAGCAAAAGAAAUUCCCGUAGUAGCGGCGAGCAAAAUGGGAGUAGCCUAAACCAUGGAAACGAGGUUGUGGGAGAGCACAAUAUAAGCUUCAUAGGGUUGAAGCU
rnacentral:ncRNA from 1 species